GUCAGCCAAUCACAACAGCUGAAAGAACACGUUCUGCAGAUUACAGAAAGUAGUCUAUCCAAUCUGCAAUCAAGACAGUUGUACUUUGUUUCUGAGAGCAUUUUCACAUGUAAGCUAUUAUGAUCACUUUCGAAACUCACAACCAUGAUGUUCCAUUUUGCCAGAGCGGCAAGGAAAGGAGGAGAGGUGAAGCAAGGGCUGCUGGGAAGGUGCUGCAGUAAUCAUAAAAUACACCCAAGAGAGAAGGUUUGCUGAAUCGCAGACCUAGAUUUCCAACACAGAAGAUGAAAAUGCAUAAGCAGUGAAUUGAAAAGGUCAAGAUUAUUUUAGGAAGUCUCAGACAUUUCCAAAUUUUUUGUCCUUCUAAAGGAAGUGUUUAUAGCUGUUCUCUAAUAACUUCCCAAAGGUGACUAUUUUUCAUUGUUGAUCACAUAGCAGAUAUUGAUAAGAAAGAUGUUGUCCUCACCCAGUGUCAAUAUUUGAACAUUUGUCAACUAAAGUUACGAGAUGGUAGUUAAAAACACAAGACUUGGUUAUUUUUCACCUCCCUAACCUCAAGAU